UGAUCUUGCUGACCACAAGAGCAAAGUGGAGGUUUGAGUAAUCGGAUUACAAGUUUAAUGAAUGUGGAUGGGAAAUCGCAGAAGAUGUAGAAGACAGAAGUAGCUCAGGGUCCUGGGGGAAUGGAGGACAUCCAAGCCCGUCCAGGAACUAUGGAGAUGGG
rnacentral:sRNA from 1 species